GAUCUUUACUGAUUUUUUACAUAGUACAAUUAAGGUUCUUUCCUUAAUUAGGCUCUUGUAUUACAGUUUGAUCAAGGAGUAUAUUCUAUACUUCCUUAUUUGGUUUGAACUCCUUGCCUUAAUUAAUCUCUAUUAUUAUCGUUUGGCUAAUUGCCCUUAAUUAAGGGAGGUCUACACUAAACUCCUUUGUAUGAUUGGAUUCGGCGACCCCUUAAUUGCUGGUUUCUGAUUCCUUUACCUUAUUUUCUCUACUCUUGAACUUCUAUAUAACCACUCUUAUUUUACCUCUCAAGACACGAACACUAAAUUCAGAACACACACUCACACUCAAACUCUCUCUUCUUUCUCUGCUACUUGUGAUAAUUAUUGGUCAAGCCGGCAGAAAGCCAAGGUUAGACAUUGGAACUACACAUGUUUUACACUCUACACUUUCUUCUUUAACUGGUAUGUCUCUAAGUUAAAAUUUUGAAACUCAACUCCAUGUGCUCCAUUCCUGCACUAGUUUAAUUAGCUAUGUAUCCAAUUUGUUUCCUUAUUUACUGCUUUAUUCAGCAUGUCUAAAUUCUGCCUUCUCUUGUUCAAUGUGUAAUCAUCAUGUCCAAACUUCACUUGGUCAUUUGAUACUUGUCCAACAUGUUUACUUAGUCCCUACUUAAUCCCACCCCCACCCCCCACAACUGGUGUGAUAAUGUUAGUUACUUAGACUCCUAAUGUAUUCAAUUAGCCCUAAUUGUAUGUCCAAUUCUGUCCAAUACACCCUUGUCUUCAAUAUGACUUUACUCUACUCUUUCUCUAUAUUUUAAAUGCCUAUUACUAUGACUGACUUGCUCAGUGGACUCCUAGUUAUUUUGUGCAUUUGUUGUAUCAAAUGAUUCCUUGUUUAUGUGGUUUCAACCCUAUAUGUUCCCGAUCCCUUCACCCUUGUUUGUAAAUCUGCUUGUAAAGUGUCUAUGAAUCUGGGUACUCUAUGAUUUAUUGGUUGUUUGCUGAAUUUGAUUUACUCAGAAAUGAUUUCAAAACUAUUCUUCUACUCUUAGUAUUCUUCUCAAAACUGGUGUCACUCCUAGCAUCUUCUUAAAAUUGUUUUCCAUUUCUAAUAAAAAUUUUACUUUUAAAAUUAUCUCUACACUGUUUUAUUAAAUCUUUCAAAAAUUAUGUCAAGCACUCUCACUUUAGUCUUAAACUAUUAGAUUCUGCCCCGCAUAUGUAUAUACUGCUUAAGGAUCCUUGAGAUUCCUUUGAACUCUGGCACAUCAAGGCUGGUCUUUCUGCACUACACAUAACCAAUCCCUAUUUGAGAAAAGGUCUUGGUGUGAGCACUGCACGGGAUCCUUAAGGUCCUUAGAAGACUCUGACACACCAGGACAUACUAUUUUCUAUGAGAUCCUUGGCAUCUGAGACUGUGUUGAAGGCCUGGAAUUCCUAAGUUUACUUUGGGUCUAAUUCGGGCUCCCUAUAGUAUAGUUUCAUUUAUUUAUGUAAUUCAUUUGAUCAUGUUAUGUAAUGAUAUUCUUUGUAAAGAGAUAUUGGGGUAAUUAGUAAAAAGGGAGGGUUCCUAUAUGAUUUUUUGUGGGGAAAUCGAGCAGGA
rnacentral:lncRNA from 1 species